rnacentral:tRNA from 1 species
AAGGCUUUAAGUUAAUUAAACUAAUAGCCUUCAAAGCUGUAAAUAAAGCUAAAAAUUUUUUAAGCCUUA